rnacentral:rRNA from 1 species
UGAUCAUGCUCAGGAUGAACGCUAGCUACAGGCUUAACACAUGCAAGUCGAGGGGCAGCAUGGUCUUAGCUUGCUAAGGCCGAUGGCGACCGGCGCACGGGUGAGUAACACGUAUCCAACCUGCCGUCUACUCUUGGACAGCCUUCUGAAAGGAAGAUUAAUACAAGAUGGCAUCACGAGUCCGCAUGUUCACAUGAUUAAAGGUAUUCCGGUAGACGAUGGGG